GAUGAACGCUGGCGGCGUGCCUAAUACAUGCAAGUCGAGCGAACAGAUGAGGAGCUUGCUCCUCUGACGUUAGCGGCGGACGGGUGAGUAACACGUGGAUAACCUACCUAUAAGACUGGGAUAACUUCGGGAAACCGGAGCUAAUACCGGAUAAUAUAUUGAACCGCAUUGUUCAAUAAUGAAAGACGGUUUUGCUGUCACUUAUAGAUGGAUCCGCGCCGCAUUAGCUAGUUGGUAAGGUAACGGCUUACCAAGGCAACGAUGCGUAGCCGACCUGAGAGGGUGAUCGGCCACACUGGAACUGAGACACGGUCCAGACUCCUACGGGAGGCAGCAGUAGGGAAUCUUCCGCAAUGGGCGAAAGCCUGACGGAGCAACGCCGCGUGAGUGAUGAAGGUCUUCGGAUCGUAAAACUCUGUUAUUAGGGAAGAACAAAUGUGUAAGUAACUAUGCACGUCUUGACGGUACCUAAUCAGAAAGCCACGGCUAACUACGUG
rnacentral:rRNA from 1 species